UAUUUUAUAUUAAUUUAUAAAAGAACGUUACAUACAUGAAUAGACAUAGAAUAAAAAGAGAUUAAAAUUAAUAAAAGUGUUAUAUUAACAAAGACAUUAAAUAAAACUAGACAACUUCAAACAAAGCUCUCCGUGCAGAUGACAAUGGCACUAUGUUAAUUGUGGUCCUUUUACAAAUUGCUUUAUAGAUUUUGAAUAUUUCCAGAUAUUUUAGAUGAGGAGUUGAUAUGUGAUAUAUUAGAUGUGCCCUAUCAAAAAGACAACACAAUGUCCUGGUCAAAGACAAAGGCUGCUAAGGUAGUUGUAGUCAGACAUUUUUUGAUUGAGUCCUGAUGUUCUUUUAUCCUGGUAUGCAGAGAUCUACAUGUGGCAUCAAUAUAUUCAAAGGGAAGAUAUAUUCUGUUGUCAAAGGUCAGUAAAUGCCUGGAAGAGUAGUUUGAUCAGGAUCUUUGUCAUUUCUGAGCAAGGAAAAUACAUUCAGGCUCCUUUUAUAAGCAAUUUGUAAGUUGGAGCAUUGGACCUCAAUCAAAAAAUGCCUGACUACAACUAUUAAUGCAUAAUUAUUUAUUAAACUAUAUUUAAUUAUGUCUCUGUUUUAAUUUUAGACAUUUGAUGAAUGUGUGGAAAAACAAGAGAAAGAGUGCAAUCCUGAAAAUUUAUGGCUCCAAAUUCCAUUUUUCUGUGGCCAUGCAUCAGAAUGUUGGCUUCCAGGUAGUGAAUGGGCUUUGUCUCAAGCCAAACAGAAUUUGAUUGAACAUUAUUUAUUAGUUGGAGUAACAGAAGAAAUUCAAGAUUUUAUUUCUCUUCUUGAAGUAACACUUCCUAGAUUUUUUAAAGGUGCUACAACACUUUAUAAUGAAGGUA